rnacentral:RNase_P_RNA from 1 species
UCGGAUAAUCGCACCUGAUAAGGUGAGGAAAGUCCGCGCAUCCAAGGACAGAUUGCCGGAGAAACUCCGGACGGCGUGAGCCGGUGGAUAGUGUCACAGGAAAGAAUGCGUAAGCCGGUGUGAAGUCCGAAUUCGGCGACGUCGAGUCGGCGAACUGAGGACAUAACACUACGAUACCGCCGUUGUGAACGGAACGCUAGUGAAGUGAACGAACAAAUCUUUGAUUUGACAGGCGGGAAAAAUAGCGUAAGCCGGUGUAAACAACGCAUGCAGACUGCCGAUGGAUAUUUAUAUCACAGGCGAUGGUGCAACGGUGAGGUAAGAGCAUCACCAGCGAUAUUGAGAAAUAUCGGCUAGAUAAACCCCAAUCGGAUGCAAGAUUGACAGGAAGGCUAUGAGGUGUCCGCCCACUUCCGAAAAAUCGCUAGAGAUUAGAAGUAAUUCUAAUACCAGACAGAUGAUUAUCUAAAACAGAACGCGGCUUACGGGCUGCUUUA